UACCAGACUCCUACGGGAGGCAGCAGUGGGGGAUAUUGCACAAUGGGGGAAACCCUGAUGCAGCGACGCCGCGUGGGCGAAGAAGUAUUUCGGUAUGUAAAGCCCUAUCAGCAGGGAAGAAGAAAUGACGGUACCUGAGUAAGAAGCACCGGCUAACUACGUGCCAGCAGCCGCGGUAAUACGUAGGUGGCAAGCGUUGUCCGGAUUUACUGGGUGUAAAGGGCGUGCAGCCGGGAAGACAAGUCAGAUGUGAAAUCCCGCGGCUCAACCGCGGAACUGCAUUUGAAACUGUUUUUCUUGAGUACCGGAGAGGUCAUCGGAAUUCCUUGUGUAGCGGUGAAAUGCGUAGAUAUAAGGAAGAACACCAGUGGCGAAGGCGGAUGACUGGACGGCAACUGACGGUGAGGCGCAAAAGCGUGGGGAGCAAACAGGAUUAGAUACCCUUGUA
rnacentral:rRNA from 1 species